CACGCCGCGUGAGUGAUGAAGGUUUUCGGAUCGUAAAGCUCUGUUGUUAGGGAAGAACAAGUACCGUUCGAAUAGGGCGGUACCUUGACGGUACCUAACCAGAAAGCCACGGCUAACUACGUGCCAGCAGCCGCGGUAAUACGUAGGUGGCAAGCGUUGUCCGGAAUUAUUGGGCGUAAAGGGCUCGCAGGCGGUUCCUUAAGUCUGAUGUGAAAGCCCCCGGCUCAACCGGGGAGGGUCAUUGGAAACUGGGGAACUUGAGUGCAGAAGAGGAGAGUGGAAUUCCACGUGUAGCGGUGAAAUGCGUAGAGAUGUGGAGGAACACCAGUGGCGAAGGCGACUCUCUGGUCUGUAACUGACGCUGAGGAGCGAAAGCGUGGGGAGCGAACAGGAUUAGAUACCCUGGUAGUCCACGCCGUAAACGAUGAGUGCUAAGUGUUAGGGGGUUUCCGCCCCUUAGUGCUGCAGCUAACGCAUUAAGCACUCCGCCUGGGGAGA
rnacentral:rRNA from 1 species